UAUACGACUUUUCAACAACUU
rnacentral:miRNA from 1 species